rnacentral:rRNA from 1 species
AAACAGGGGAGUGCCUUUCGGGGAACUCGGAGACAGGUGCUGCACGGCUGUCGUCAGCUCGUGUCGUGAGAUGUUGGGUUAAGUCCCGCAACGAGCGCAACCCUUGUCUUUAAUUGCCAGCAUUCAGUUGGGCACUUUAAAGAGACUGCCGGUGUUAAGCCGGAGGAAGGUGGGAUGACGUCAAGUCCUCAUGGCCUUUAUGCCCAGGGCUACACACGUGCUACAAUAGGUGGUACAAAGAGAUGCCAACUCGCGAGAGCGCGCCAAUCUCAGAAAGCCACCCUCAGUUCGGAUUGGAGUCUGCAACUCGACUCCAUGAAGUUGGAAUCGCUAGUAAUCGCGGAUCAGCACGCCGCGGUGAAUACGUUCCCGGGCCUU